CAAUAGCGUAUAUUUAAGUUGUUGCAGUUAAAAAGCUCGUAGUUGGAUUUCGGGUGGGACGCAGCGGUCUCGCAUUGCGUUUGUACUGCUGCAGCCCUCCUUCUUGCCGGGGGCGGCCUCUCGGACUUCACUGUCUGGGGGUCAGAAUCGGCGAUGUUACUUUGAGUAAAUUAGAGUGUUCAAAGCAAGCUUACGCUCUGAAUAUAAUAGCAUGGGAUAACACGACAGGACUCUGGCCUAUCGUGUUGGUCUAUAGGACCAGAGUAAUGAUUAAGAGGGACAGUCGGGGGCAUUCGUAUUCCGUUGUCAGAGGUGAAAUUCUUGGAUUUACGUAAGACGAACAUCUGCGAAAGCAUUUGCCAAGGAUGUUUUCAUUGA
rnacentral:rRNA from 1 species